rnacentral:misc_RNA from 1 species
GCGAGUAGACCUGCCCUCACGGGUCGGUAAGUCCACCAUAUACACCUUAUUCGUGAACUCAGUCAGGGUAGCUCGGCCGAUGAAAGCCUAGGCGAUUAGCCGGUAGGUCCGCUCUUUCAUACCCUUUAUGAAGUCAAUGGAAAUUACUUUGUAUAAUCUAGUA